rnacentral:rRNA from 2 species
CCGGCGAUGUCCGAAUGGGGAAACCCAGUGCAAUUCGUUGCACUAUCGUUAACUGAAUACAUAGGUUAACGAGGCGAACCGGGGGAACUGAAACAUCUAAGUACCCCGAGGAAAAGAAAUCAACCGAGAUUCCCCCAGUAGCGGCGAGCGAACGGGGAGCAGCCCAGAGUCUGAAUCAGCUUGUGUGUUAGUGGAACGGUCUGGAAAGUCCGACGGUACAGGGUGAUAGUCCCGUACACCAAAAUGCACAGGUUGUGAACUCGAAGAGUAGGGCGGGACACGUGGUAUCCUGUCUGAAUAUGGGGGGACCAUCCUCCAAGGCUAAAUACUCCUGACUGACCGAUAGUGAACCAGUACCGUGAGGGAAAGGCGAAAAGAACCCCGGCGAGGGGAGUGAAAAAGAACCUGAAACCGUGUACGUACAAGCAGUGGGAGCACCUUCGGGUGUGACUGCGUACCUUUUGUAUAAUGGGUCAGCGACUUAUAUUCUGUAGCAAGGUUAACCGUAUAGGGGAGCCGCAGGGAAACCGAGUCUUAACUGGGCGUUAAGUUGCAGGGUAUAGACCCGAAACCCGGUGAUCUAGCCAUGGGCAGGUUGAAGGUUGGGUAACACUAACUGGAGGACCGAACCGACUAAUGUUGAAAAAUUAGCGGAUGACUUGUGGCUGGGGGUGAAAGGCCAAUCAAACCGGGAGAUAGCUGGUUCUCCCCGAAAGCUAUUUAGGUAGCGCCUCGUGAACUCAUCUUCGGGGGUAGAGCACUGUUUCGGCUAGGGGGUCAUCCCGACUUACCAACCCGAUGCAAACUACGAAUACCGAAGAAUGUUAUCACGGGAGACACACGGCGGGUGCUAACGUCCGUCGUGAAGAGGGAAACAACCCAGACCGCCAGCUAAGGUCCCAAAGUCAUGGUUAAGUGGGAAACGAUGUGGGAAGGCACAGACAGCCAGGAUGUUGGCUUAGAAGCAGCCAUCAUUUAAAGAAAGCGUAAUAGCUCACUGGUCGAGUCGGCCUGCGCGGAAGAUGUAACGGGGCUAAACCAUGCACCGAAGCUGCGGCAGCGACACUAUGUGUUGUUGGGUAGGGGAGCGUUCUGUAAGCCUGCGAAGGUGUGCUGUGAGGCAUGCUGGAGGUAUCAGAAGUGCGAAUGCUGACAUAAGUAACGAUAAAGCGGGUGAAAAGCCCGCUCGCCGGAAGACCAAGGGUUCCUGUCCAACGUUAAUCGGGGCAGGGUGAGUCGACCCCUAAGGCGAGGCCGAAAGGCGUAGUCGAUGGGAAACAGGUUAAUAUUCCUGUACUUGGUGUUACUGCGAAGGGGGGACGGAGAAGGCUAUGUUAGCCGGGCGACGGUUGUCCCGGUUUAAGCAUGUAGGCUGGUUAUCCAGGCAAAUCCGGAUAAUCAAGGCUGAGGUGUGAUGACGAGGCACUACGGUGCUGAAGUAACAAAUGCCCUGCUUCCAGGAAAAGCCUCUAAGCAUCAGGUAACAUCAAAUCGUACCCCAAACCGACACAGGUGGUCAGGUAGAGAAUACCAAGGCGCUUGAGAGAACUCGGGUGAAGGAACUAGGCAAAAUGGUGCCGUAACUUCGGGAGAAGGCACGCUGGUGUGUAGGUGAAGUCCCUGCGGAUGGAGCUGAGACCAGUCGAAGAUACCAGCUGGCUGCAACUGUUUAUUAAAAACACAGCACUGUGCAAACACGAAAGUGGACGUAUACGGUGUGACGCCUGCCCGGUGCCGGAAGGUUAAUUGAUGGGGUUAUCCGUAAGGAGAAGCUCUUGAUCGAAGCCCCGGUAAACGGCGGCCGUAACUAUAACGGUCCUAAGGUAGCGAAAUUCCUUGUCGGGUAAGUUCCGACCUGCACGAAUGGCGUAAUGAUGGCCAGGCUGUCUCCACCCGAGACUCAGUGAAAUUGAACUCGCUGUGAAGAUGCAGUGUACCCGCGGCAAGACGGAAAGACCCCGUGAACCUUUACUAUAGCUUGACACUGAACAUUGAGCCUUGAUGUGUAGGAUAGGUGGGAGGCUUUGAAGCGUGGACGCCAGUCUGCGUGGAGCCAACCUUGAAAUACCACCCUUUAAUGUUUGAUGUUCUAACGUUGGCCCCUGACCGGGGUUGCGGACAGUGUCUGGUGGGUAGUUUGACUGGGGCGGUCUCCUCCCAAAGCGUAACGGAGGAGCACGAAGGUUAGCUAAUCCUGGUCGGACAUCAGGAGGUUAGUGCAAUGGCAUAAGCUAGCUUGACUGCGAGCGUGACGGCGCGAGCAGGUGCGAAAGCAGGUCAUAGUGAUCCGGUGGUUCUGAAUGGAAGGGCCAUCGCUCAACGGAUAAAAGGUACUCCGGGGAUAACAGGCUGAUACCGCCCAAGAGUUCAUAUCGACGGCGGUGUUUGGCACCUCGAUGUCGGCUCAUCACAUCCUGGGGCUGAAGUAGGUCCCAAGGGUAUGGCUGUUCGCCAUUUAAAGUGGUACGCGAGCUGGGUUUAGAACGUCGUGAGACAGUUCGGUCCCUAUCUGCCGUGGGCGCUGGAGAAUUGAGGGGGGCUGCUCCUAGUACGAGAGGACCGGAGUGGACGCAUCACUGGUGUUCGGGUUGUCAUGCCAAUGGCACUGCCCGGUAGCUAAAUGCGGAAGAGAUAAGUGCUGAAAGCAUCUAAGCACGAAACUUGCCCCGAGAUGAGUUCUCCCUGAGACUUUAAGUCUCCUGAAGGAACGUU